AACGAACGCUGGCGGAAUGCUUUACACAUGCAAGUCGAACGGCAGCACGGGUGCUUGCACCUGGUGGCGAGUGGCGAACGGGUGAGUAAUGCGUCGGAACGUGCCGAGUAAUGGGGGAUAACGCAGCGAAAGUUGUGCUAAUACCGCAUACGCCCUGAGGGGGAAAGUGGGGGAUCGCAAGACCUCACGUUAUUCGAGCGGCCGACGUCUGAUUAGCUAGUUGGUGGGGUAAAGGCCUACCAAGGCGACGAUCAGUAGCGGGUCUGAGAGGAUGAUCCGCCACACUGGGACUGAGACACGGCCCAGACUCCUACGGGAGGCAGCAGUGGGGAAUCUUGCGCAAUGGGGGAAACCCUGACGCAGCAACGCCGCGUGGGUGAUGAAGGCCCUUGGGUCGUAAAGCCCUGUCUGGAGGAAGAAGCCCGCUCUCGCUAAUAUCGGGGGCGGAUGACGGUACCUCUGAAGGAAGCACCGGCUAACUCCGUGCCAGCAGCCGACGG
rnacentral:rRNA from 1 species